UAAGUUUCAAGUUUCAGGAGAUGAAAUAAAAUUGACAAGACAAAAAUUAUUUAUCAAAAGUUUAGUAAUGAUAUUUCGUCUGCAUACUGUUUAUAUAGAUAUUUCUUAAAGUGAUAUGCAACAUUUAUUAUCAAAUUGGAGAGAUUGCUUUUCGUAUUUGGACACGUGAAAACGUAAAAGAUAGGCCGAGAUGAAGGCAUUUACACUUUACCGUCUUGGACGUAUAAAGAAUAAAUGGAUUACAGAUGGGCUUUCGGAAAUAAUGAGUACAUUCAUGUUGGCUUUGUUUGUGUACGCAUCUGGAGCACAAGAUGUGCUGACCCGUGGGGCUGCAAGUUCCCCGACCGGCCGGGCCCUAGCGGCCGGAGUUGGACUUAUGUUAGCCGUUUACUGUGGAUUUAAUGCUUCAGGU
rnacentral:misc_RNA from 1 species